UGACUUUUACAGCGCCUAAUUAAAUCAAAUUUGGGCCUGGAUUUGCCACAUCAUCCCAAUUUGAACCUCUCAAACUAAGGCCCCCGCAGCAACCAAGCGCUCGGCGCGUGUUACACCUCUCCGGCUAUUAUCAGCCGACUAACUCACUACAGUUCCGGCGACUAUUUCCACGCGCAUUUUUCCCACUUGGGCAAACUUUUCAAAAUCCCUUAAUCAAAACUCCGCGCCACUAAAUGCUGUCCAAUGCUAUCACCCUCGUGGGAUUCACGCUCAUCAGUCUCUCCUCGUUGAUUGGUGCUUGUGUUGCACGCACUAUAGUCACAGGUGAGUCCAACUCUGGUGAUAUUUGUCAUGAUACUUCGCGGACACGACUAUAUUACACACGAAUGCAUACUAACCGUACACCUGUAAGAUAAGAGUGAGGUAGAGAGAGAAAUUUAGUGAGAGAAAUAUUUUUUAGAGAGAGAAAGUGUUUCU
rnacentral:misc_RNA from 1 species